AAAUAAACCCGGUAGUAGCGGCAGCCCCCGAUCCUUUAUCGGGGCUAUAGUGAAUAACGGGACUGAAA
rnacentral:sRNA from 1 species